rnacentral:rRNA from 1 species
GACGAACGCUGGCGGCGUGCUUAACACAUGCAGGUCGAACGGAAAGGCCCUGCUUUUGUGGGGUGCUCGAGUGGCGAACGGGUGAGUAACACGUGAGUAACCUGCCCUUGACUUUGGGAUAACUUCAGGAAACUGGGGCUAAUACCGGAUAGGAGCUCCUGCUGCAUGGUGGGGGUUGGAAAGUUUCGGCGGUGGGGGAUGGACUCGCGGCUUAUCCGCUUGUUGGUGGGGUAGUGGCUUACCAAGGUUUUGACGGGUAGGCGGCCUGAGAGGGUGACCGGGCACAAUGGGACUGAGAUACGGCCCAGAAUCCUACGGGAGGCAGCAGUGGGGAAUAUUGCACAAUGGGCGGAAGCCUGAUGCAGCAACGCCGCGUGCGGGAUGACGGCCUUCGGGUGGUAAACCGAUUUCGCCUGUGACGAAGCGUGAGUGACGGUAAUGGGUAAAGAAGCACCGGCUAACUACGUG